rfam:Hordeum vulgare subsp. vulgare, WGS project CAJW01000000 data, contig: morex_contig_1618221
AUAAUACUCCAUCCGUCCGGAAUUACUUGUCAUAAAAAUGGAUGCAUCAAGACAUAUUUUAAUUCUAGAUACAUUCAUUUCUUUCCAAUUUGAUGACAAGUAAUUCCGGACGGAGGGAGUAGUAG